GUCUACGGCCAUGCCACCCUGAACAAGCCCGAUGUCUGAUCUCGGAAGCUAAGCAGGGUCAGGUCUGGUUAGUACUUGGAUGGGAGACCACCUAGGAAGACCAGGUGCUGUAGGCA
rfam:Pteropus alecto contig54729, whole genome shotgun sequence.